GGAGCCGUAGCGAAAGCGAGUUUUAACUGAGCGUUCAGUUACUUGACGUAGACCCGAAACCGGGCGACCUACCCAUGAGCAGGAUGAAGCGAAAGUAAAAUUUCGUGGAGGUCCGAACCCACGAGCGUUGAAAAGCUCGGGGAUGACUUGUGGGUAGCGGUGAAAUUCCAAUCGAGCCCGGAGAUAGCUGGUUCUCCCCGAAAUAGCUUUAGGGCUAGCCUCAAGGUGAGAGAUACGGAGGUAGAGCACUGAAUGUCCUAGGGGGUAUUGCACCUACCGAAGACUAUCAAACUCCGAAUGCCGUCAUCUUAUACUUGGGAGUCAGACUGUGGGUGAUAAGAUUCAUAGUCGAAAGGGCAACAGCCCAGAUCGUCAGCUAAGGUCCCUAAAUGUAAGUUAAGUGGUAAAGGAUGUGGGAUUGCACAGACAACCAGGAUGUUGGCUUAGAAGCAGCCACUCAUUCAAAGAGUGCGUAAUAGCUCACUGGUCGAGUGAUCCUGCGCCGAAGAUUUCCGGGGCUAAAACUUACUACCGAAGCUACGGCAUCAGUAAUGAUGGGUAGGGGAGCUUCCCAUACGGGUUGAAGCAUGACCGUAAGGACAUGUGGACAGUAUGGGAGUGAGAAUGUUGGCAUGAGUAGCGAGAUGUGGGUGAGAAUCC
rnacentral:rRNA from 1 species